GCCUGGGUGGCUCAGUUGGUUAAGCAUCUGACUUAACUCAGGUCAUGAUCUCGCAGUUUGUGGGUUCGAGCCCCACGUCGGGCU
rnacentral:tRNA from 1 species